UGAGGACGUCAUUGUGACAUA
rnacentral:piRNA from 1 species